rfam:Gossypium raimondii Chr07_contig_18, whole genome shotgun sequence.
UAUUAAAAAUUUUAUCUAUUUUUAUCGUUAAAAAUUCAUAUAAUUGACAGAAUAAUCAAACAGUGACACAUGAUUUGUCACAUGUACCUUACUUUAAUGUAAAAUGAUUAGUUUUUACUAAUAUAAAUAGAUAAAAAGAUUAACA